rnacentral:tRNA from 1 species
GGCACGGUGGUGCAGUGGGUAGCACUGUCGCCUCGCAGUCAAGAAGGUCGUGGGUUCGAAUCUCGGCUCGGGGCC